rnacentral:rRNA from 1 species
UACGGAGGGGGCUAGCGUUGUUCGGAAUUACUGGGCGUAAAGCGCGCGUAGGCGGACCUGCAAGUCGAGUGUGAAAGCCCCGGGCUCAACCUGGGAACUGCAUUCGAGACUGCAUUACUCGAGUAUCGGAGAGGGCAGUGGAAUUUCAGGUGUAGCGGUGAAAUGCGUAGAUAUCUGAAGGAACAUCAGUGGCGAAAGCGACUGCCUGGCCGAAUACUGACGCUCAUGUGCGAAAGCGUGGGGAGCAAACAGG